GCGCCCUUAGCUCAGUUGGAUAGAGCAACAGCCUUCUAAGCUGUGGGUCGGCGGUUCGAAUCCGCCAGGGCGCGCCA
rnacentral:tRNA from 1 species